CAGAGCCCCUCCAAAGCUCUUUUAGCGCUCCCCCAUAGCAGAGCACCCCGGGCGCUCUCCCAGAGCACCGGGAGACCACCCUGAUGGCACCCCUCGUUCUUCCACCCCCAGCGCCCUCUCCCUGAGACGGAGAAAGAGAGAGACAGAGGGAAAGCCAUCACUGCAGUGCUGCAGCGUUCUGGAAUGGUCCUCCCACCGUCUUGCAUGACGCUCCCGUGUGACACCAGAGGCUGGAGCCCGGGUCCUCAAACGUGUUGAAGCGUGCCCCUUGCUGGACUGUGGCGAAAUGAGCACUGGAGAGGGCAGACGGAAGGAAGAAGCCAUAAGUUCAUAAAGGGUAUGUCUAGAAAACACUCUUCAUGCCCUUACUCCAAGUGUCCUACAGCAGGUGAGUGCCCGAGAAAGCUGUGGUCUAUAUCCACAAUGGAAUACUAUUCAGUUAUGAAAAAAAAACGAGGAAUUCACCUUCUUCACCUCAUCUUGGAUGGAGCUUGAAGGAACCAUGUGAAGUGAGAUCAGCCAGGAAGAGAAUGACUAUGGGGUGAUCCCACUCAGAGACAGAAGUUAAAAAAUAAGAACAGGAAGCAGGGAAGAGAAAGUAGAUUUGGGCUGAGUUUGCUGUAUGGCACCAAAGUAAAGGACUUUGGGGAGGUGGGGGUAGCUUUCAGGUCAUGGACAUGAUGGUGGAGGAGGACCUAGGCUGGGGGUGAGAAUGUUUGCUGGAAACAGAAAUUUUACACAUGUACCAACAACUGUAUUUAAUGUUGAGUCUAAACCCUCAAUAAAAGAGUACAUUCAAAAAGAGCUUCCUGGGGAGCCAGGCGGUAGCACAGCGGGUUAAACGCAGAUGGCGCAAAGCACAAGGACUGGCAGAAGGAUC